GAUGAACGCUGGCGGCGUGCCUAAUACAUGCAAGUCGAGCGAACGGACGAGAAGCUUGCUUCUCUGAUGUUAGCGGCGGACGGGUGAGUAACACGUGGAUAACCUACCUAUAAGACUGGGAUAACUUCGGGAAACCGGAGCUAAUACCGGAUAAUAUUUUGAACCGCAUGGUUCAAAAGUGAAAGACGGUCUUGCUGUCACUUAUAGAUGGAUCCGCGCUGCAUUAGCUAGUUGGUAAGGUAACGGCUUACCAAGGCAACGAUGCAUAGCCGACCUGAGAGGGUGAUCGGCCACACUGGAACUGAGCCACGGUCCAGACUCCUACGGGAGGCAGCAGUAGGGAAUCUUCCGCAAUGGGCGAAAGCCUGACGGAGCAACGCCGCGUGAGUGAUGAAGGUCUUCGGAUCGUAAAACUCUGUUAUUAGGGAAGAACAUAUGUGUAAGUAACUGUGCACAUCUUGACGGUACCUAAUCAGAAAGCAACGGCUAACUACGUG
rnacentral:rRNA from 1 species